rnacentral:misc_RNA from 1 species
CAACCCUCAAGCCCUGGCUGCUUGGUGUUGGGGCAUCUACGGCACCGCCGUAGGCCCCGAAAGAAAGUGGCGGUCUCGCCUAGACUCCAAGCGCAGUAGUUUAUUUCUCGCUUAGGGCGUCUUUGCGGGUGCCAGCCGUUAAACCCCCUACUUUUAAUAGUG